GUGCACGCUGGCGGUAGGCCUAACACAUGCAAGUCGAACGGCAGCACAGUAAGAGCUUGCUCUUACGAGUGGCGAGUGGCGGACGGGUGAGGAAUACAUCGGAAUCUACUUUUUCGUGGGGGAUAACGUAGGGAAACUUACGCUAAUACCGCAUACGACCUACGGGUGAAAGUAGGGGAUCUUCGGACCUUGCGCGAUUGAAUGAGCCGAUGUCGGAUUAGCUAGUUGGCGGGGUAAAGGCCCACCAAGGCGACGAUCCGUAGCUGGUCUGAGAGGAUGAUCAGCCACACUGGAACUGAGACACGGUCCAGACUCCUACGGGAGGCAGCAGUGGGGAAUAUUGGACAAUGGGCGCAAGCCUGAUCCAGCCAUACCGCGUGGGUGAAGAAGGCCUUCGGGUUGUAAAGCCCUUUUGUUGGGAAAGAAAAGCAGCAGGUUAAUACCCCGCUGUUCUGACGGUACCCAAAGAAUAAGCACCGGCUAACUUCGUG
rnacentral:rRNA from 1 species